rnacentral:rRNA from 1 species
GAUCAUGGCUCAGGAUGAACGCUGACAGAAUGCUUAACACAUGCAAGUCUACUUGAACUUCGGUUUGGGUGGCGGACGGGUGAGUAACGCGUAAAGAACUUGCCUCACAGCUAGGGACAACAUUUGGAAACGAAUGCUAAUACCUGAUAUUAUGAUUUUAGGGCAUCCUAAGGUUAUGAAAGCUAUAUGCGCUGUGAGAGAGCUUUGCGUCCCAUUAGCUAGUUGGAGAGG